rnacentral:lncRNA from 1 species
CAUCGGGAUCUUUAGGGCCCUCAUUCGAAGCUACUCAAAAUAUCGUCCAGCUCUUCCGCUCCCUGCAGUUUUGGGAGUGCUUCCGCCUCAAACCUCCAGGUCCCUUGCUCUGUAGAUGAACCUGCGUCUGGGGCUGGACUACGCCCAAUUUUUGCACCGGGCGCCAUUCCAUAUUCCCUGAAUCCGGAGGAACUCCUUCUGAUAAGGGUUCAGUAUGGAGUCCCUCCAGAGUACGAUCUAGAG